rnacentral:rRNA from 1 species
GAUAAUCGGUACGGGUUGUGAGAGCAAGAGCCCGGAGAUGGAUUCUGAGACACGAAUCCAGGUCCUACGGGGCGCAGCAGGCGCGAAAACUUUACACUGCGCGAAAGCGCGAUAAGGGGACCUCGAGUGCGUGCGCAAUGCGUACGCUUUUCAGAUGCCUAAAAAGCAUGUGGAAUAAGGGCCGGGCAAGACCGGUGCCAGCCGCCGCGGUAACACCGGCGGCUCAAGUGGUGGCCGCUAUUAUUGGGCUUAAAGGGUCCGUAGCCGGACCAGUUAGUCCCUUGGGAAAUCUUACGGCUUAACCGUAAGGCUGCCAAUGGAUACUGCUGGUCUUGGGACCGGGAGAGGUAAGAGGUACCUCAGGGGUAGGAGUGAAAUCCUGUAAUCCUUGAGGGACCGCCAGUGGCGAAGGCGUCUUACUAGAACGGGUCCGACGGUGAGGGACGAAAGCUAGGGGCACGAACCGGAUUAGAUACCCGGGUAGUCCUAGCCGUAAACGAUGCGAGCUAGGUGUCACGUGGAUUGGGAAUCCAUGUGGUGCCGAAGGGAAAACCGUGAAGCUCGCCGCCUGGGAAGUACGGCCGCAAGGCUGAAACUUAAAGGAAUUGGCGGGGGAGCAC